rnacentral:rRNA from 1 species
AUUGAACGCUGGCGGCAUGCUUUACACAUGCAAGUCGAACGGUAACAGGCCUUCGGGUGCUGACGAGUGGCGAACGGGUGAGUAAUGCAUCGGAACGUACCCAGAGGUGGGGGAUAACGCAGCGAAAGCUGUGCUAAUACCGCAUGUGAUCUGAGGAUGAAAGCGGGGGACCGAGCAGCAAUGUUUGGCCUCGCGCCUUUGGAGCGGCCGAUGUCGGAUUAGCUAGUUGGUGGGGUAAAGGCCUACCAAGGCGACGAUCCGUAGCUGGUCUGAGAGGACGACCAGCCACACUGGGACUGAGACACGGCCCAGACUCCUACGGGAGGCAGCAGUGGGGAAUUUUGGACAAUGGGCGCAAGCCUGAUCCAGCAAUGCCGCGUGCGGGAAGAAGGCCUUCGGGUUGUAAACCGCUUUUGGCAGGAACGAAACGGUGUCCGCUAAUACCGGGCGCUAAUGACGGUACCUGCAGAAUAAGCACCGGUUAACUACGUG